rnacentral:rRNA from 1 species
AACGUAGGACGCAAGCGUUAUCCGGAGUUACUGGGCGUAAAGCGCGUGUAGGCGGUCGGGCAAGUCGGAUGUGAAAGCCCAGGGCUCAACCCUGGAAGUGCACUCGAUACUGCUCGGCUAGAGUCCCGGAGAGGAUGGUGGAACUCUCGGUGUAGAGGUGAAAUUCGUAGAUAUCGAGAAGAACAUCGGUGGCGAAGGCGGCCAUCUGGACGGUGACUGACGCUGAGACGCGAAAGCGUGGGGAGCAAACGGG